rnacentral:misc_RNA from 1 species
UUAACUUAUUUUAUAGGUAACUCAGAGAUGCCAAAAAUACAGGUGUUUGUAGGCCUUCGGCGGGCCGCCCCCUGAAGGGCCUUCCGCCGAAGCAACUUAUAGGUACGUUCACAGAGGGUUGGGAGUUUUGCAACUCUGUAAUGAUCCCUCCGCUGGUUCACCAACGGAGA